AUUGAACGCUGGCGGCAGGCCUAACACAUGCAAGUCGAGCGAGCGGCGGACGGGUGAGUAAUGUAUGGGGACUGCCCGAUAGAGGGGGAUAACUACUGGAAACGGUGGCUAAUACCGCAUACUAUCGGAUAACCCAUAUGGGAUUAGCUAGUAGGUGGGGUAAAGGCUCACCUAGGCGACGAUCUCUAGCUGGUCUGAGAGGAUGAUCACCCCCACUGUGACUGAGAAACGGCCAAGCUUCCUACGGAGGCAGCAGUGGGGAAUAUUGCCCAAUGGGCGCAAGCCUGAUGCAGCCAUGCCGCGUGUAUGAAGCAGGCCUUAGGGUUGUAAAGUACGUUAAGCGGGGAGGCGUUACCCGCAGAAGAAGCACCGGCUAACUCCGUGCCAGCAGCCGCGGUAAUUC
rnacentral:rRNA from 1 species